UACAGAGGUCCCAAGCGUUGUUCGGAUUCACUGGGCGUAAAGGGUGCGUAGGUGGUGAGGUAAGUCGGAUGUGAAAGCUCCGAGCUCAACUCGGAAAUGGCAUUGGAAACUACCUUGCUAGAGGGUUUGAGGGGGACUGGAAUACUUGGUGUAGCAGUGAAAUGCGUAGAUAUCAAGUGGAACACCGGUGGCGAAGGCGGCUCACUGGCCCGUUACUGACGCUGAGGCACGAAAGCGUGGGGAGCAAACAGG
rnacentral:rRNA from 1 species